CCUCGCUCCUCCUAUCCCGUACGUAAUACCCAACUCCUGCACCGAACGACCCUUAGCACUACACCGUACACUCACACAACGAAGGCAAAGCAUCAAUUCAUUGGUUAAAAGGCUCCUGGCACAGGCGCCAAUCUUCGAGCCACCUGAUUAUUAUUUACGCGCAACCACAGCCUCCCGGGCGCACCUUUCCGCCCGUUUGACGCAAAGAUAGAAUGAGAUUUGCAGAGUAGCAAACGUCGAUCGCGUACUGGUAGACGGCGUGGGCACCAUCGACGCGGCUGGGGCGUCAACAGAUAGACGGCGCCGCAGAGGAUAGAAACGACCCAGCGAAAUGCGAAGCGCCAGCCGAAAGGAAAGGAGAUGGAGCCGAGGGCAUGUCGCUAGGCGCAACAGUCCCAGUGGAUGGAGGAACCACAGAUCCCUAAUCACUUCAGCCAGCCGGGCGAUCUUUUCACAACAGACACAAACACGAACAUUCACUACCUCUGAUAUAUCAUCCGCACAAGAGGCGCGGCGACUACUAGUAUCGCUACGCUUCACACUCUUGGUGGCGCAGCGCUCACAUGCCGUAUUGGGACCCUGCGCGAAACAGACCUCCCCUAACGUCACACAGCACCGGUAAAAUCUCAAGGCUCGAGCGCACUGGAGCGCUUCCAGAUACUGGCGUCGCCGCUCAAGCCACUUCCUCGAUACGAACCAUCAGCAACUCACAAAAGAACAGCUUGGAGAAACAGAGAACUCACCUGACAGCUUACUUUAGAGCGCUAGCUGGACUCGUCCCCGGCCCCAUUGUUGUUGUCUUGUUAGAUCUGAGAUGGCUGAGGUAAUUCUGUUAAGAUAUAUCGCUUGCUGCCCACAAAAUAAGACUUUCCCGCCUUGGUGUUUGCAAAAUCCGGGGAGCCUGGAGAGAGGAGCGCCAUUGGGUGCUUAUUAAGAGCAGAUCAUUGUACAGUACUGGUACAAUAGUAAAAUUGUAUCCUUGAUAACGAAGGACGGAAUAAAUCAGACAGAUCGCUGGGAGAUAAGGAAACGUGCGGCUAAUGAUAAUAAUGCUUGUCCUAGAUGACAGCCUCCAGCCUCAGCACUGCCCGCCCGUCUGAGGUGGUGGAGUUCGUUAGAGAGAGUUAAGGAGGCUACAUACAUAUUGCUCGUGUUUACAUUAUUUUAUUUAGUGUGCGAUGUACUGUUACACUACG
rnacentral:sRNA from 1 species